GUAGGUGAACCUGCGGAAGGAUCAUUAUUGAAUUUAAUUAGCGUAUACUUUUUUAACAAAGUUGCGUGACCUUUUUUCUUUACAAACUCUUGUGCAUUUUUUUUGGUGAUUAGUAGAAAAAUCUUUACGGAUUUUAGAUACCAUUUCACGGCUCAUUUUUUAAAAACAAUAAUAGUCAGAGUAUGUUUAAAAAUUUUAUAAUUAUAAAAAAACUUUCAACAACGGAUCUCUUGGCUCUCGCAUCGAUGAA
rnacentral:misc_RNA from 1 species